CAGGAAUCUGACUACUAAGAUGAAAAGGAGAAAUGACUCGAACAUAUAGGUAGCAAAGGCUGCAGAAAUAACCAACAUAUGAUCCAACAGUUGCAUAUCACUUGAGCCAGAAAUAUAUGAGAUCAAAAAUUUUGUAGAAACUUAAAUAGAAUGGGAAGGAAAAUGAGCAAAAGAGCAGGGACAUAUCUCGGAUGAAGAAAGAGAAGGGAGGGAGUGAGGCUUAGAGUUGCCUUUGAUCUGUCGCUAUGACGAAGAAGGAGGAGAUCUGGUCCAUCACUAU
rnacentral:lncRNA from 1 species